GGUAAAUCUGCUAGCGACAGCAACGCUCCCCUGCGGGGUGACAUCGUGUGCAUAAACCCUAUUCGAAAAAUCCCAAUACUCGCGUAGCUCUGAAAAAAAAAAAAAAAAAGGCAAAAAAGCCCUAGACCUGACGCAUUCUAUCGGCAACCGGGAGUGUGCCCGGCAUCAGGCCACUUGGGACACGCUUUCACGGCGCAGAUAAUUCGUCUGUCAAAAAGAGGCCGGACAACAAAGUGUUUUUAAGCGUGUGUGUGUGUGUGAAGUGUUAUCGUCGGCCGGUGCGGCAGCCUCCCCUCUCCGACCGACAACAAACUUCUCUUUGAGGAGCCGACGACGACAACGGGCCUUUCGUCUUUCCAAAGAGGAGGAGGGGGAGAUACAGCUGUUGCUAAGCGUCCGUCUGUGCACGUGCUGCUCACAUGCCAUCUAAGACUGCUGUAUUAUUCCGACUUUUCUCCGGUCGCUGUCAAGUCCGGAAAAAUGCAACGAGGCACUCACGUCUUCCCUGACACGCCCAUCAGCAUCCCAAAACUGGAGAAAAUAUUGCAAUGUGAAGACAACUUGAGAACAACUCACGUGAGCUAUCCUUCCUGCCAUGGCUGCAAACUCUCGGACGAUAACGUUAACGACAUCCCCGAGCUGAAAAGGGAGGUUCUUUAUAACUCACGUU